AGGGCACCACCAGGAGUGGAGCCUGCGGCUUAAUUUGACUCAACACGGGAAAACUCACCCGGCCCGGACACUGGAAGGAUUGACAGAUUGAGAGCUUUUUCUUGAUUCAGUGGGUGGUGGUGCAUGGCCGUUCUUAGUUGGUGGAGCGAUUUGUCUGGUUAAUUCCGAUAACGAACGAGACUCUAGCCUACUAAAUAGAUCGUUGGCUUACAAACGCCAAUGAGACUUCUUAGAGGGACAGGCGGCGAUUCAGCCGCACGAAUUUUUAUCAAUAACAGGUCUGUGAUGCCCUUAGAUGUCCGGGGCCGCACGCGCGCUACACUGAAGUGAUCAGCGUGCAUUCUCAGCCUACUCUGCCAAGAGUGGGAAACCCAAUGAACCUUCUUCGUGAUUGGGAUAGGAGAUUGUAAUUAUUCUCCUUGAACGAGGAAUUCCCAGUAAGCGCGAGUCAUAAGCUCGCGUUGAUUACGUCCCUGCCCUUUGUACACACCGCCCGACGCUACUACCGAUUGAAUGUUU
rnacentral:rRNA from 1 species